rfam:Streptomyces sp. PVA 94-07 chromosome, whole genome shotgun sequence.
CUUGAUGCCGCCCAGCCGCAGCGGGCGGUCCUCCGGGCGGUUCUGGCCGUAGGUGGCGAGGAGCGCCUGGGCCUC